UCGAGAAUUUUUCUCAAUGGGGGCAACCCUGAAGGAGCGACGCCGCGUGGAGGAUGAAGGCUUUCGGGUUGUAAACUCCUGUCAUUGGGGAACAAGGCCCCUGCAAAGGGGCCCGCUAGUACCCAAAGAGGAAGAGACGGCUAACUCUGUGCCAGCAGCCGCGGUAAUACAGAGGUCUCAAGCGUUGUUCGGAUUCAUUGGGCGUAAAGGGCGCGUAGGCGGCAAGGCAAGUCGGGUGUGAAAGCUUGGGGCUUAACCCCGAAAGGGCACUCGAAACUGCCCUGCUAGAGGGCCGGAGAGGAGAUCGGAAUUCACGGUGUAGCAGUGAAAUGCGUAGAGCUCGUGAGGAAGACCGGUGGCGAAGGCGGAUCUCUGGACGGCCCCUGACGCUGAGGCGCGAAGGCUAGGGGAGCAAACGG
rnacentral:rRNA from 1 species